AAACCUGAGAUGUCAUUAUUGUGCGUCGACACCCAAUACAAUUUGCGAGGAGGAGAUUCAUGGUUGUCACCCAUAUGAAUCUAGAUGUGUAUCAUCAACUCAAGUCUUAAUUAAAGAUGGCAGAGUGGUUUCUGUUUGGAAUCUGAAA